UGGCUUGGAGGCUAGGUGGCUUGGCUUGCAGCUCAAAUGGCAUGGCUUGGCAGUGUCAUGGGUUGAUGGGUUGAGUGACGGGGUUGGAUAAGCUAUUGGGUGAUGCGCAGGUCACUAAGGCGGGUCAAAAGAACUCAACUUCUUUUCCUAAGACGGUGCCGUUUCCUUCAUAGUGUAAAAGCCCUUUUUUCAAGCCUUUUCCUUCAUUUUCAUCUUUUCCUCUCUCUAAGAAACUAAUCUCUCUUUUCUCUCUGUAGGUUCUAGAGGAAAUAAACCAGAGGCUUUAACAUCCUAGAUUUCGGCGUCGAAGCUUCAACUGCGCUGCCACUGUAGACACCGCAUGCCAUCACCAACUGGCCAUUGAUUCCCACCAAAUUUCACGUCGGCGCUUGUUUUGGCCUCCUCUUUCACAUGGUACAAUUGGCUUAUUCAAAAACUCACUAAAAUUAUGUCGAUUAGAUUUUGAAAGCCGCGGGUUCAACCUUUGAGAUUUUUCCCCCACUACUCCGUUCGCCACUGCUUCAAGGUAUGUUCUUACCUUUCUUAUUGGCUUCCUCGUUAUAAAAGUUUUAAGACUCAAAUCCCCUUUGACCACUGGAGCUUGAAUCUCAGAAAGGAUAGGGCUUUCUUUUCCCCUUUUUUAUGUUAUUGUUGUGGUGUUUGUUGCUGUGUUUAUCUAUUUUCUUUUGCAGGUAUGUGUUCGGUGGCCAAGGAGAGCUUGGGUGAUGUUGAUUUUGUUACUGAUUUUGGAGGUUAUGGGUUGUUGGUGUUUGUUUGCAGGCUCAUGGCUUUCUCAAGACUGGGUUUGUUUGCUGGGUUGGUUUGCAGGGAAUUGGGUUUAUUUGUAUGGGACUUGGUUCACGGUGGUGUAAGGUCUUUGAGUCUGCGACUCUGAUGAAAAGAAGGUCGGGUACUUAGCUCUUGAGGGUAGUGGCAGUGUCCAAAGUAGGAGGAAUUGUAAUAGAGUUUUGGGGGAAUUGAUGCGGUGAUGGUUUGACUAAAAAAGGGGAAUAGCUUAAGGGACGAUUUAGUUUAGUCGUAGGUUGCUAAAUUGUUGAGUUCAAGUGACAGUAGGCUUAGCUUGGAAAUUGUUGAGAAUGCUGGCAAACUUAGUACUCGCUCACUGGUUGUUGAAUCUUGCCAGCCUAUUUUUUGCUUCUCACUAUUGUGUUUCUCUAAUUUACUGUAAUUUUCCUCUCGUCCCCCUUUUUCUGUGUGAUUUGCAAGUCCUUUUAUAAGACAAUGUCCAAGCUUAAUUAGUAUUUUGAUAAGGAUCAAAUUCUUCAAGAAUAGCUUAUCUCACUAGCAGAUUAGGACUAAAUCCUAUCUUCAAAUUUUUUCAUUCAAUUUC
rnacentral:lncRNA from 1 species